rnacentral:tRNA from 1 species
AGCAGGGUAGAGCAGUCCGGUAGCUCGUUGGGCUCAUGCCCCAAAGGUCGCGGGUUCAAAUCCCGCCCCUGCAA